AUGAACAAAGCUAGUGGGGGUGAUGGAAUUCCAGUUGAGCUAUUUCAAAUCCUAAAAGACGAUGCUGUGAAAGUGCUGCACUCAAUAUGUCAGCAAAUUUGGAAAACUCAGCAGAGGCCACAAGACUGGAAAAGGUCACUUUUCAUUCCAAUCCCAAAGAAAGACAAUGCCAAAGAAUGCUCAAACUACCGCACAGUUGCACUCAUCUCACACGCUAGUAAGGUAAUGCUCAAAAUUCUCCAAGCCAGGCUUCAACAGUACAUGAAUUGUGAAGUUCCAGAUGUUCAAGGUAGAUUUAGAAAAGUCAGAGGAACCAGAGAUCAAAUUGCCAACAUCUGUAGGAUCAUUGAAAAAGCAAGAGAGUUCCAGAAAAACAUCUACUUCUGCUUUACUGACUACACCAAAGCCUUUGACUGUGAGAAUCAAAAUAAACUGUGGAAAAUUUUUCAAGAGAUGGAAAUACCAGACCGCCUUACCUGUCUCCUGAGAAAUGUGUAUGCAGGUCAAGAGGCAACGGUUAGAACCAGACAUGGAACAAUGAACUGGUUCCAAAUUGGGAAAGGAGUACAUCAAGGCUGUAUAUUGUCACCUUACUUAUUUAACUUAUAUGCAGAGCACAUCAUGUUAAAUACAAGUCUGGAUGAUGCACAAGCUGGAAUCAAGAUUGCCAGGAGAAAUAUCAAUAACCUCAGAUACGCAGAUGACACCACCCUUAUGGCAGAAAGUGAAGAAGAACUAAAGGGCCUCUUGAUGAAAGUGAAAGACAGUGAAAAAGUUGGCUUAAAGCUCAACAUUCAGAAAACUAAGAUCAUGGCAUCUGAUCCCAUCACUUCAUGGCAAAUAGAUAGAGAAACAAUGGAAACACCGAGAGACUUUAUUUUCUUAGGCUCCAAAAUCACUGCAGAUGGUGACUGCAGCCAUGAAAUUAAAAGAUGGUUCCUCCCUGGAAGAAAAGAUAUGACCAACCUAGACAGCAUAUUAAAAAGCAGAAACAUUAUUUUGCCAACAAAGGUCCAUCUAGUCACAGCUAUGGUUUCUCCCGUAGUCAUGUAUGGAUGUGAGUUGAACUAUAAAGAGAGCUGA
rnacentral:lncRNA from 1 species